UACGUAGGGACCGAGCGUUGUCCGGAAUCCUUGGGCGUAAAGAGCGUGUAGGCGGCCUGUUAAGUCUUGCGUGAAAUCUCGGGGCUCAACCCCGGACUUGCAGUGGGUACGGGCAGGCUAGAGUGUGGUAGGGGAGACUGGAAUUCCUGGUGUAGCGGUGGAAUGCGCAGAUAUCAGGAGGAACACCGAUGGCGAAGGCAGGUCUCUGGGCCACUACUGACGCUGAGAAGCGAAAGCAUGGGGAGCAAACAGG
rnacentral:rRNA from 1 species